GGGUAUUGUGUGUAGAUUGAUUAAAAAAAAAAAGUGUAAUUCAUUUUAGAAUAAGGCUGUAAAGUGGAAAAACUCAAGGGGGCAGACAUGUCAAUAGGUACCAGUCAUGGUGAGUAGAGACAUCAUGCCAAUAGGUACCAGUCAUGGUGAGUAGAGACAUGUCAAUAGGUACCAGUCAUGGUGAGUAGAGACCACAUGUCAAUAGGUACCAGUCAUGGUGAGUAGAGACAUCAUGCCAAUAGGUACCAGUCAUGGUGAGUAGAGACAUCAUGUCAAUAGGUACCAGUCAUGGUGAGUAGAGACAUCAUGCCAAUAGGUACCAGUCAUGGUGAGUAGAGACAUCAUGCCAAUAGGUACCAGUCAUGGUGAGUAGAGACAUCAUGUCAAUAG
ensembl:lncRNA